GCCACAUUAGUGAACAGAUGGACAUUGCAUAGAGAGGAACGAUAGGAAAAGGCAGAUUUAGAAAAGAAUGUCCACUUGGAGGGGUUUGUGGCAUUUGGAGGGGGGGAAAUCAGUGCCCAGGAAGGUGGUACGCCGUUAUGGAAUUGCAUAUGUUUGUGGCCCUCAUCCUCUACAAGUUUGAAUUCAUCCCGCUGGAUCCAGUGCCCAAACCGGCAUCAUCUUUUGUUGGUCAUGGUCCAUGGAACAGCAUUCCUGUCAAACAAACAUAGCCUAACCUUGAAAUCUGAUUGGAUAGGAUCGUUUUUCCAGGACCAUCUAGGAUGUUGGAUCCAGGAGCAUGGCCUACUUUGCGAAAUCAAAGACUCUUCAAGCGCAACAUUCCAGAGAUGUUUAGCAGAAGGCCAAUGAUCAACAUGGAUACUAGACUCGAAAGUGGUGUGAUGUAACAAAAUGAAACAUUAACAUUCCUGUUCCUUCAUACAAUGUCAUUUAAUAUCCAUUGACACAAAUACUAAUACACAAAAAACAC
rnacentral:lncRNA from 1 species